rnacentral:rRNA from 1 species
UGGGGAAUCUUGCGCAAUGGGCGAAAGCCUGACGCAGCAACGCCGCGUGGGGGAAGAAGGUCUUCGGAUUGUAAACCCCUUUCAGUUGGGACGAAGCUUCCAGGGUUAAUAGCUCUGUGGAGUGACGGUACCUUCAGAAGAAGCCCCGGCUAACUACGUGCCAGCAGCCGCGGUAAUACGUAGGGGGCGAGCGUUGUCCGGAAUCAUUGGGCGUAAAGCGCGUGUAGGCGGUCCGGUAAGUCCGCUGUGAAAGUCGGGGGCUCAACCCUCGGAUGCCGGUGGAUACUGUCGGGCUUGAGUACGGAAGAGGCGAGUGGAAUUCCUGGUGUAGCGGUGAAAUGCGCAGAUAUCAGGAGGAACACCAAUUGCGAAGGCAGCUCGCUGGGACGUUACUGACGCUGAGACGCGAAAGCGUGGGGAGCAAACAGGAUUAGAUACCCUGGUAGUCCACGCUGUAACGAUGGGCACUAGGUGUGGGGGGUGUCGACUCCCUCCGUGCCGAAGCUAACG